AUGAACGCUGGCGGCGUGCUUAACACAUGCAAGUCGAACGAAGCAUUUAAGACAGAUUACUUCGGUUUGAAGUCUUUUAUGACUGAGUGGCGGACGGGUGAGUAACGCGUGGGUAACCUGCCUCAUACAGGGGGAUAGCAGCUGGAAACGGCUGGUAAUACCGCAUAAGCGCACGGUAUCGCAUGAUACAGUGUGAAAAACUCCGGUGGUAUGAGAUGGACCCGCGUCUGAUUAGCUGGUUGGUGAGGUAACGGCCCACCAAGGCGACGAUCAGUAGCCGACCUGAGAGGGUGACCGGCCACAUUGGGACUGAGACACGGCCCAGACUCCUACGGGAGGCAGCAGUGGGGAAUAUUGCACAAUGGAGGAAACUCUGAUGCAGCGACGCCGCGUGAGUGAAGAAGUAGUUCGCUAUGUAAAGCUCUAUCAGCAGGGAAGAUAGUGACGGUACCUGACUAAGAAGCUCCGGCUAAAUACGUG
rnacentral:rRNA from 1 species